GACAAUAGUCACAAAGCAAACCUACCCGGAACCACCAAGGAGUAGUUUGGAGAGAAAGGCCUCGCCGGAUGCUCCAAAAUCCCCGCCCAUGCACCCCGGACCACCACGUGUCCCGUCGCCCCUCCCUUUGUCGAAUCUGGCAGCUCCGUCACCAGUUGGAGGGAGGGCAGGUGUGCGGACAUGCUGAAGAUGUCAUUUUUUACCUUCUUCAAAGAAUACACAAAAAACACCUCC
rnacentral:lncRNA from 1 species